GCUGGCCAUAGUUCAAUGGCAGAGCAUCUUCUCCACAUGCAGAAGGUCUUGGGUUCAGUCCCCCAUGGCAUCUGCA